GGUAGAGUUUGAUCCUGGCUCAGAUUGAACGCUGGCGGCAUGCCUUACACAUGCAAGUCGAACGGCAGCGCGGGGCAACCUGGCGGCGAGUGGCGAACGGGUGAGUAAUAUAUCGGAACGUGCCCUGGAGUGGGGGAUAACGCAGCGAAAGUUGCGCUAAUACCGCAUACGAUCUAAGGAUGAAAGCAGGGGACCGCAAGGCCUUGUGCUCCUGGAGCGGCCGAUAUCUGAUUAGCUAGUUGGUGGGGUAAAGGCCUACCAAGGCAUCGAUCAGUAGCUGGUCUGAGAGGACGACCAGCCACACUGGAACUGAGACACGGUCCAGACUCCUACGGGAGGCAGCAGUGGGGAAUUUUGGACAAUGGGCGCAAGCCUGAUCCAGCAAUGCCGCGUGAGUGAAGAAGGCCUUCGGGUUGUAAAGCUCUUUUGUCAGGGAAGAAACGGUGAGUUCUAAUACAGUUCACUAAUGACGGUACCUGAAGAAUAAGCACCGGCUAACUACGUGCCAGCAGCCGCGGUAAUACGUAGGGUGCAAGCGUUAAUCGGAAUUACUGGGCGUAAAGCGUGCGCAGGCGGUUUUGUAAGUUUGUCGUGAAAUCCCCGGGCUCAACCUGGGAAGUGGCGAUAGAAGACUGCAAAGCUAGAAUCUGCGCAGAGGGGGGUAGAAUUCCACGUGUAGCAGUGAAAUGCGUAGAGAUGUGGAGGAACACCGAUGGCGAAGGCAGCCCCCUGGGUCAAGAUUGACGCUCAUGCACGAAAGCGUGGGGAGCAAACAGGAUUAGAUACCCUGGUAGUCCACGCCCUAAACGAUGUCUACUAGUUGUCGGGUUUUAAUUAACUUGGUAACGCAGCUAACGCGUGAAGUAGACCGCCUGGGGAGUACGGUCGCAAGAUUAAAACUCAAAGGAAUUGACGGGGACCCGCACCAAGCGGUGGAUGAUGUGGAUUAAUUCGAUGCAACGCGAAAAACCUUACCUACCCUUGACAUGGUCGGAAGUCCGGAGAGAUCUGGAUGUGCCCGCAAGGGAACCGAUACACAGGUGCUGCAUGGCUGUCGUCAGCUCGUGUCGUGAGAUGUUGGGUUAAGUCCCGCAACGAGCGCAACCCUUGUCAUUAGUUGCUACGAAAGAGCACUCUAAUGAGACUGCCGGUGACAAACCGGAGGAAGGUGGGGAUGACGUCAAGUCCUCAUGGCCCUUAUGGGUAGGGCUUCACACGUCAUACAAUGGUACAUACAGAGGGCCGCCAACCCGCGAGGGGGAGCUAAUCCCAGAAAGUGUAUCGUAGUCCGGAUUGCAGUCUGCAACUCGACUGCAUGAAGUUGGAAUCGCUAGUAAUCGCGGAUCAGCAUGUCGCGGUGAAUACGUUCCCGGGUCUUGUACACACCGCCCGUCACACCAUGGGAGCGGGUUUUACCAGAAGUAGGUAGCUUAACCGCAAGGAGGGCGCUUACCACGGUAGGAUUCGUGACUGGGGUGAAGUCGUAACAAGGUAACC
rnacentral:rRNA from 1 species